GACGAACGCUGGCGGCGUGCCUAACACAUGCAAGUCGAACGGGACCCGCAAGGGUUCAGUGGCGGACGGGUGCGUAACACGUGAGGAACAUACCCAUCGGCGGGGGAGUAGCCGGCCCAACGGCCGGGUAAUACCGCGUACGACGCUUGGGGCGGCAUGCUCCGGGCGUGAAAGCAGCAAUGCGCCGAUGGAGUGCCUCGCGGCCUAUCAGCUUGUUGGUGGGGUCACGGCCCACCAAGGCUACGACGGGUAGCUGGUCUGAGAGGAUGAUCAGCCACAUUGGGACUGAGACACGGCCCAGACUCCUACGGGAGGCAGCAGUGGGGAAUAUUGCGCAAUGGCCGAAAGGCUGACGCAGCGACGCCGCGUGUGGGAUGACGGUCUUCGGAUUGUAAACCACUGUCGGGAGGGACGAAUGCCCCGCAAGGGGAGUGACGGUACCUCCAAAGGAAGCACCGGCUAACUCCGUGCCA
rnacentral:rRNA from 1 species